rnacentral:piRNA from 1 species
UGACAAUUUAUUUGUGAUAGAUGAUACGAG